rnacentral:sRNA from 1 species
UACUUUAGUGUACCGCAUCACUUUUUGA